AUGGCGGCUCGCGGCGGGAAGGCCCUGGUGCUGGCCAUGCUGAUCUCCUUCCUCGCGGUCCAGGGAACGCUGGGGUCCGAUUUCGCCGCGUGCUACUGCCACCACAACAAAGUGUGCACGAAACAAUGGCCACGCAAGCCGGUGUACUGCAUGAAGAAAAGCCUCGAAGACUGUACCGGCUGGACGUGCUCCAAGAAGCCUCCUUCCGUGAUGCCACUGGCCGAUGCUGUCAACCCCGUUACAGACGAGGGCAGCAUGGCCGUUCCUGCCGGGGGUGCCGAUCAUGGCGAGUUCAACAUCACUGAGGGCAGCAUGGCUGCUCCUGCCGGGGGUGCCGAUCACGGCGACUUCAACACUGCAGAAGAGGAUGCAGCUCCGUGA
rnacentral:rRNA from 1 species